rfam:Homo sapiens chromosome 11, GRCh38 reference primary assembly.
GUGGGUUAUCACUUGUGCCCAGGAAUUUGAGACCAGUCUAGGCAACAUAGUGAGACCUUGU